CGGACCUUCACAGCUUGCGUUGAAGUGUGCUGAACACAGUUCCCGGCACUGGCGCCUCUCAUGGCCGACCUUGUCUUGUGGUGACAAUAUCAUUUUGUCCGUGUGUUGCUUUUGUCCAGUGUGUGCACAUUUUCUCCUGAAGCGCACAGUCGGAGUGUCAGUGGACAGAGGAGAAAAGCCCAGAUUAGGAGAGUUACUAUGUUCUCAGUUGCAUGGUGCGGCUUCCUGGUUGUUGGUUGCCUGUCUAAAGCCCAGAUGUGCAAAAAUAGUCUGGAACACACGUGUGCUAGAGGGAGGAUGGGUGAGAUGGCUUUUUCCUGAGUGGGGGUGAGUGAGACAAAGUGCAGGUUGGCAGCUGGCACCCGAUGGGGACAGGCCCUUUCCAGGGUAGUGACUCAGCAGGCUGGUCUGACCCCGGGGCAGUCUGCUUGGUGCCUGAAUGUUGGUUGAGGGGAAGGCAGACACAAUGCAUUUUUCUGCUGCUGCUUGUCCUUAAUCUCAUAAUCUAGCAGGAAGUCGCGGCUAUUUUUUAAGAAUACUUGAAAACAAGGUAGAAAAUGAUCACACACCAAAUGGUUUGAAUAACUCAUGGAAGGAAAAAAAACAAUAUGAUGAGGUCUGGAGAGCAGCCUGUUGUAAUUUGGGUGGCCCCAGAGACCUCACAGGGUUGGCCCCAGGGAGGCUGUGGCCCCAGGAGCACUGUGUUCUGGUCAUUCGCUGCAACUUGCCCAGUCAUGGGGCCAAGACCCUGCAAUAAGGUGCGGGCUGCCGAGACCCUAAAUCUUGGGGCUGGGGCACCGGACAGGCUGUCGUGGAGAAGGGGAAACCCUGCUGUGGACACGCUGUUGCUCCUGAUGUCACGUUUCUCAGGCUGGUGGUGAGGCCUGGACAGGCUCCUUGUGAGAAAAUUGCGCUGAUGUGUUUCGGUUUCAAGCAUCUGAGGUUGGUAACUCGCAGAGGGAAGGAGUGUGAGUGCACAUGUAUGUCAGUGUAAGCACACACAAAUCUGUGUAACAGAUGACAGAGCAAACGUGGGGAAAGAUCUGUAGUCGGUGUGUUUAAGUGAAGGGUAUCCUUGUGGUCACUGUGGUAGUAUUCCAUUUUUUUCCCUGUAGGUUUGAAAUUUCUUAAAAGACUUGUUAGAAAGACGAGGGCCCUGGACUAGAGGGGAGGCUGCUUUUCCUCUCUUGGGCCUGUCAGGAGCCCCGCAUUUCUAUCCACGAGGCUUCUCUAGAAGGCAGGUCUACAGACCCCAGAGGCUGGCAAACAGGAGUUCAGUAGAUGAACAGAAAACCAAGAAUAACCAGCCGUUGAUGAAGGAAGACCAUCUGUCCAGCCCCCUUGAUGCUCUCCCACUUGUGCAGGACGGCAGGUCAGGGGCAGAGUUUGGCCCUGCCAGAGCCGGAUCUGUGGAGGCAAGGGUCCACACAUGCAGCAUCCUGGGGGCUAUGAGACAUGGAAUAGGCAGUGGCUCAAAUUUGAACCCUUGUCUGGAGACCACUGCCAGAGCCUGCAGCUGGAGCCAAGGUGCCUGUGUGGACCUCUCAGAGGGUUUAGUCCCGGGUGGGGGGGCCCACAGUUGCUUCCCCCUGCUGUCUCCUGCCCUUUGGGAGUGGCUAGGGAGGUCAUUUUAUUAGAAACCCAACCCCUAGGCCUGUGUCUUACCAUGUUUUGGAGUCUAAAUUUAAACUACUUGUGUGUUGUAAGAAAUGCCAAGUUGACCAUGUAACACACAAUUGGUCUCUGAAAUGAUAAUUCACUGAGGUUGCCUGACUGGAGCAAAGGUAAAACCUGUGACACACGAGAGACACUUAAACCAUUCAUACCUCGUGUCCUUGCUAUAAAAAUAACACAGACAAGCCAUACCUAAGUGUUUGCAGAGCACAGUGGAGUAAGGUCUCCCUAAGCAGACCUUCAGAAAGUCUUAGCUUUGGGUGAGAACUGGAAGGAGUAGGAUUUCCAUCUGAAAGAAAAUACAAAGGAAGUGUUAGGAGUGUUGGAAGCCAUUGAAGGAGGUGUGGGCAUCAUGAGAGAACAGCAGGACGCAGACAUGAACAUAGACACAAGCCGUGGGAAUGAAGCCAGGAGGUGGCUGGAGCACCAGAGAGGCUGUGGACCCCAGCGCAGGAGGAUGAAAGGUGAAAGCUUUGUCAGAGUGGCCAGGAAAUGUGGAAAAUAGCAAUGUUCAGUGGAUGCUCCAGAAGCAGAGACGGGAGUGGGGGGAUGGUCACACGAGAAAAGGAUUUUCUGGAAGCUGAUGGAACUGACCAAAUUUCGAACAAAAUGAAUAAAAAUAAAUCUAUGCCUGAUAAGUUAGUUAAAAAAAAAAAAACAAAAAC